AUAUCAUAUGUUUUUAAAAAAAUUAAUUGUGAAAUGGCAUCAUGGGAUUGCGUGGGUGUAUUUACAUUUGAAAUGGACAUGAACACUGAAGAGUCAUCAUUCAAAAUUGUUGGCAUGAGCGAGGCAGCAAAAAGCGCGAGGGGUCUCGUAACGGCUGGACUGCAAGGUGGAGAGACGAAUCUUCAAACUUAAAGGCACGAGACAGCAGAGAUUGCAACUCUAACCUGAUAGGACUGGUGGUGUGAGACAAAUGAGAAAAGAUUAUUUUUAGGUGAAAUCCUCAAUGCAACUCAGUGGAUGCUGAGUAUGGACGGUCAGGUGGUUGUGAAUCCACACCCCAACCUUGAGGCUGGAUUUGCAGCUUUGUUCGCAUCAUACUACAACUUCAAUCUGGUUUACCAGAGGGAGGCAUCCUCCACACUUGAAUUUGUUCAAAGAUGUUUUGUUGGAAUCACAGCUACCACUGGCAUCAAGACAGCAUCAAGAGGCAAAAAAGUGGAAACGCCUCUGAGAAGAGAUACAACACCAUCAACCCUCAUGUGUGUACUCUUUUCAGAAAAUUAUUGGACUUUGAAUGGUUACGCAUGUAAGUUCUUGUUCAUGUAUAAAGACCAAAACAUGUUGUAAAUAGGCCAGUUCUGUGAUUGAACACUUGUGUUUCUAGACAUACAAGUUAUGUCAUGUUCUAACACAGAUUCAACAAGAUCUUAAAUGUAACACAAACCGUGUUUAGAUGUUUUAUAGAUGCCAUUGUUUUGGAAUA